GACGAACGCUGGCGGCGUGCUUAACACGUGCAAGUCGAACGGAAAGGCCCUGCUUUUGUGGGGUGCUCGAGUGGCGAACGGGUGAGUAACACGUGAGUAACCUGCCCUUGACUUUGGGAUAACUUCAGGAAACUGGGGCUAAUACCGGAUAGGAGCUCCUGCUGCAUGGUGGGGGUUGGAAAGUUUCGGCGGUUGGGGAUGGACUCGCGGCUUAUCAGCUUGUUGGUGGGGUAGUGGCUUACCAAGGCUUUGACGGGUAGCCGGCCUGAGAGGGUGACCGGCCACACUGGGACUGAGAUGCGGCCCAGACUCGAACGGGAGGCAGCAGUGGGGAAUAUUGCACAAGGGGCGGAAGCCAGAUGCAGCAACGCCGCGUGCGGGAUGACGGCCUUCGGGUUGUAAACCGCUUUCGCCUGUGACGAAGCGUGAGUGACGGUAAUGGGUAAAGAAGCACCGGCUAACUACGUG
rnacentral:rRNA from 1 species